AUUGCUUCUUCGGCACAAGGCCGUCCGAAAUUCGAAGUUUAAACAUUAAAACGUAGAUUAUGUUUAACUCGUAGAAUAUAACAUGGUAUCAGCAAAUUGUGCUACGGAGAGUUCACAGAAGUCCGCUGAGUAAUGGAUUUAUUCACUAUACUCGGCGCGGAUCGCGUUCAUGUUAUAGCGUCGACCAUUGUUAGGUAUCGUUCAAUUGCAGUCACUACAUUAAAUACUUAGCCGGUGUUUUAAUCAAUAUCGAUUUGAUAAAAUGUAAUUCGGUGACAGUAAUCAUCACAAAUGUCGUCAAACAUGGAGGAAAGAAUGGGAUACGUACCAAUCACACAUCAUUUUUCUUGAAUAUUCAAAUAAUAUAGGGUUUUUAUUUUUAUGUAUGUUUAAUUUUAAUUCCUAUUUUCGAAUAUACAAAUGUAGUG